rnacentral:rRNA from 1 species
GGUGAACGCUGGCGGCAGGCCUAACACAUGCAAGUCGAACGGCAGCACAGUAAGAGCUUGCUCUUACGGGUGGCGAGUGGCGGACGGGUGAGGAAUAGAUCGGAAUCUACUUUUUCGUGGGGGACAACGUAGGGAAAGUUACGCUAAUACCGCAUACGAUCUACGGGUGAAAGCAGGGGAUCUUCGGACCUUGCGCGAUUGAAUGAGCCGAUGCCGGAUUAGCUAGGUGGCGGGGUAAAGGCCCACCAAGGCGACGAUCCGUAGCUGGUCUGAGAGGAUGAUCAGCCACACUGGAACUGAGACACGGUCCAGACUCCUACGGGAGGCAGCAGUGGGGAAUAUUGGGCAAAGGGCGCAAGCCUGAUCCAGCCAUACCGCGUGGGUGAAGAAGGCCUUCGGGUUGUAAAGCCCUUUUGUUGGGAAAGAAAAGCAGCAGAUUAAUACCCCGCUGUUCUGACGGUACCCAAAGAAUAAGCACCGGCUAACUUCGUG